rnacentral:rRNA from 1 species
CCCCUAGUAACGGCGAGUGAAGAGGGAAAAGCUCAAAUUUUGAAUCUGGUGUCUUUGACUCCCGAGUUGUAAUCUAGAGAAGUGUUUUCCGUGUCGGACCGUGCACAAGUUCCCUGGAACGGGGCGUCAUAGAGGGUGAGAAUCCCGUAUAUGGCAUGGACUGCCGAUGCUCUGUGAUACACUCUCAACGAGUCGAGUUGUUUGGGAAUGCAGCUCAAAAUGGGUGGUAAAUUCCAUCUAAAGCUAAAUAUUGGCGAGAGACCGAUAGCGAACAAGUACCGUGAGGGAAAGAUGAAAAGCACUUUGGAAAGAGAGUGAAACAGUACGUGAAAUUGUUGAAAGGGAAGCGUUUGAAGUCAGUCAUGUCUGGCGGGAUUCAGCUUGGCUUUUGCCUGGUGUAUUUUCCGUCCGACGGGUCAGCAUCAAUUUCGACCGAGGGAAAAAGACGUGCGGAAUGUGGCUGUCUUCGGGCAGUGUUAUAGCCCCGCGUUGUAUGCCUCGGUUGGGAUUGAGGAACGCAGCGCGCCUAUAGGCCAGGGGCUACCCGCCUCUGACACGCGCUUAGGAUGCUG